CAUGAUUCUGAAUAACGGUUU
rnacentral:miRNA from 1 species